rfam:Triticum aestivum genome assembly, contig: Triticum_aestivum_CS42_TGACv1_scaffold_020940_1AS
CCACUUGAAGAGGACGAACUCCUCUCCUUCAUCAUUGCGGGGCUAGACCUUGAUUACAACUCUGUAGUCUCGGCUCUGGACGCCCGCACCGAGCCGGUCACCGUCGACUUCCUCUACUCGGCGGUCUGCAACUUCGACUAGCACGUCGAGC